CCAUAACGUCGCAAGACCAAAGAGGGGGACCUUCGGGCCUCUUGCCAUCGGAUGUGCCCAGAUGGGAUUAGCUAGUAGGUGGGGUAACGGCUCACCUAGGCGACGAUCCCUAGCUGGUCUGAGAGGAUGACCAGCCACACUGGAACUGAGACACGGUCCAGACUCCUACGGGAGGCAGCAGUGGGGAAUAUUGCACAAUGGGCGCAAGCCUGAUGCAGCCAUGCCGCGUGUAUGAAGAAGGCCUUCGGGUUGUAAAGUACUUUCAGCGGGGAGGAAGGGAGUAAAGUUAAUACCUUUGCUCAUUGACGUUACCCGCAGAAGAAGCACCGGCUAACUCCGUGCCAGCAGCCGCGGUAAUACGGAGGGUGCAAGCGUAAUCGGAAUA
rnacentral:rRNA from 1 species